CAGAAUACAAAUUCUAAGUAAAGAAAAACGAGUGGCCAUCAUUACUUUAAGAAAUGAAGGCCAAUCAGUCCGAAAAAUUGGGAAAACUUUGAAAGUGUCCCCAAGUGCAGUCACAAAAAUCAUCAAGCGCUACAAAGAAACUGGCUCACAUGCGGACCGCCCCAGGAAAGGAAGACCAAGAGUCACCUCUGCUAAGUUCAUCCGAGUCACCAGCCUCAGAAAUCGCAGGUUAACAGCAGCUCAGAUUAGAGACCAGGUCAAUGCCACACAGAGUUCUAGCAGCAGACACAUCUCUAGAACAACUGUUAAGAGGAGACUGUGUGAAUCAGGCCUUCAUGGUAGAAUAUCUGCUAGGAAACCACUG